rnacentral:rRNA from 1 species
CUGGUUGAUCCUACCAGUGAUAUACGCUCGUCUCAAAGGUUAAGCCAUGCAUGUCUAAGUACAAGCUUCCUAGAAAGUGAAACCGCAUAAGGCUCAGUAUAACAGCUAUAAUUUACAAGAUCCUCAUCCAAACAGUUACUUGGAUAACUGUGGAAAAGCCAGAGCUAAUACAUGCAUUAUGCCGGGACUGUUGGCCUCCGGGUCGGCGGAACUGGUGCACUUAUUAGUUAAACCAAUCGCCUCCGGGCGCUUUGAGUUGAAAUCUGGAUAAGGAUGCCGAUCGUACGGUCGCUUGCGACUGACGACAGAUCUUUCAAAUGUCUGCCCUAUCAACUAUUGAUGGUAGUGUAGAGGACUACCAUGGUUGCGACGGGUAACGGGGAAUCAGGGUUCGAUUCCGGAGAGGGAGCCUGAGAAAUGGCUACCACAUCCAAGGAAGGCAGCAGGCGCGUAAAUUACCCAAUCCCGGCACGGGGAGGUAGUGACGAGAAAUAACAAUAUGGACCUCUCUAACGAUGGUCCAUAAUUGGAAAUGAGUUGAGCAUAAAUCCUUUUGCAAGGAUCAAGUGGAGGGCAAGUCUGGUGCCAGCAGCCGCGGUAAUUCCAGCUCCACUAGCGUAUAUU